ACCUGUGGCUGGGGGUGAAAGGCCAAUCAAACCGGGAGAUAGCUGGUUCUCCCCGAAAGCUAUUUAGGUAGCGCCUCGUGAAUUCAUCUCCGGGGGUAGAGCACUGUUUCGGCUAGGGGGCCAUCCCGGCUUACCAACCCGAUGCAAACUGCGAAUACCGGAGAAUGUUAUCACGGGAGACACACGGCGGGUGCUAACGUCCGUCGUGAAGAGGGAAACAACCCAGACCGCCAGCUAAGGUCCCAAAGUCAUGGUUAAGUGGGAAACGAUGUGGGAAGGCCCAGACAGCCAGGAUGUUGGCUUAGAAGCAGCCAUCAUUUAAAGAAAGCGUAAUAGCUCACUGGUCGAGUCGGCCUGCGCGGAAGAUGUAACGGGGCUAAACCAUGCACCGAAGCUGCGGCAGCGAACGUAUCACCCAAGACAACUUUACGGAGUUGACGAUUGACGGAGCGAAGCGACGUCAAAGCGUUCAUUAAAGUCGAGUUGGCUUAGGGAUACGUUCGUUGGGUAGGGGAGCGUUCUGUAAGCCUGUGAAGGUGUGUCGUGAGGCAUGCUGGAGGUAUCAGAAGUGCGAAUGCUGACAUAAGUAACGAUAAAGCGGGUGAAAAGCCCGCUCGCCGGAAGACCAAGGGUUCCUGUCCAACGUUAAUCGGGGCAGGGUGAGUCGACCCCUAAGGCGAGGCCGAAAGGCGUAGUCGAUGGGAAACGGGUUAAUAUUCCCGUACUUGGUGUUACUGCGAAGGGGGGACGGAGAAGGCUAUGUUGGCCGGGCGACGGUUGUCCCGGUUUAAGCGUGUAGGUGUGUGUUCCAGGUAAAUCCGGUUCACUUUAACACUGAGGCGUGACGACGAGGCACUACGGUGCUGAAGCAACAAAUGCCCUGCUUCCAGGAAAA
rnacentral:rRNA from 1 species